rnacentral:lncRNA from 1 species
CUGGCUUCCUGUGAUCCUCCCACCUUGGCCUCCCAAAGUACUAGGAUUACAGAUGGGGUCUCACCCUGUCACCCAGGCUGGACUGCAGUGGUGCAGUCAUAGCUCACUGCAGCUUCAAACUUCUGGACUCAAGUGAUCCUCCUGCCUCAGCCUCCUGAGUAACCAGGAUUAAAAACAUGUACCACCGUUCCCCAUUAAUUUCCUACCUUAGCCUCCCAAAGUGUAGGGAUUACAGGCAUGAGCCACCAUGCCUGGCCUAAAAGUACUUUCUUUCUUUCUUUUUGUAAGAGAUACUGUCUCAUUUUGUUGCGCAGGGCUGGUCUUGAACUCCUGGCCUCAAGUGAUCCUCGCACUUUGGCCUCCCACAGUGAUAAAUUACAGGAGCGAGCCACCGCUAAAACUAUUCUUAAUGAAUUAUCUUCUGACUGUGUUAGUAGUACAUUGGGUAAAUUUUUUUUGUCAGAAAAAAACUCAAAGAUUUGCUUUUACUUUACAAACUAUACAUUCCUUGUUCUCUUGAGAAUGUCAUUCCACUUUUCAAGCUCACUGAAUUAUACCAACCCACUUGAAAAACUAAAUUGACCUCGUUAUCCUUGUUCAUGCUGUUGAAAAUGAACUUCUUAAGGUCAUAUUGCAUUACAUUGUUCAUUCCUUUUGUUGUCCCAUUCCCAAGUAUCUCCAGGUGCUUAAAAUGUUGAUAGUAAUAAUGAAAUCACUAAAUGAAAACUGGAGACAAUAUGCCCAAAUUUCAGGGAAGAAAGAAGAAAAUGUUCUUUCUCUUCACUCCUCCCAUGGAAUAUGAAACUGAUAAAGAGAAGCAGUGACUAACCUCCAAACUCUUGCUUUAAGGGCAGGCAAACAGUGUUUCAAAUGGAUAUCUAAGACAUUAUAGCUCCAAGCCCCAGACCUGCAACACCUCUGUCUCCUACCCUUGGAUGAUUCAGUUCUACAGUUUGGUUUAUAUGGUCCCCAUUCACCUGGAGCUCUUCCUUAACUGAUCUAUUAUGUAUAACAGGAUGGCUCACCCGGCAGCAAUUCUGCAAUCUCUUUCUCAUGAAAUAUUUUGCAAGAAAGCUCUCCCUUUGACACCCUAUUCAGCAUAAUAUUGUAUCAUGUGUAGAUUAAUAUUGCAUUUGUUCCAUGAUCAGUUAUCUUGCAAAGUCAAUUAUUCAGAACACAGCCAAGAAUCAAUAGGAAGAUGAAAAAAUUAUCUGAACAACCAAGUAAUACUCUUACAGAAUGUUACUCAAAGAAGAAUCUCUCUGGCCAUUUCUCAGGACUUAUUUGCUUCUAUUUUAGAUACAAUUCUUACAUGCUUAAUAAACCAACUUGUUAUUCAACCAACUCUAUGCAAUCUUUUUUAGAGAUAGGUUGUCACUGUGUCGCCCAGGCUGGAGUUCAGUGGUGUGACCACAGUUCACUGCAGCCUCAGCUUUCCAGGCUCAAGCCAUCCUCCCACCUAUACCUCCAGAGUAGCGAGUAGCGGGUAGCGGGAACUACAGGCAGGCACCACUUCCC